rnacentral:sRNA from 1 species
AUGUGAACGUUACCAAACUGUUGCCUCGGCGGGAUCUCUGCCCCGGGUGCGUCGCAGCCCCGGACCAAGGCGCCCGCCGGAGGACCAACCAAAACUCUUAUUGUAUACCCCCUCGCGGGUUUUUUUUAUAAUCUGAGCCUUCUCGGCGCCUCUCGUAGGCGUUUCGAAAAUGAAUCAAAACUUUCAACAACGGAUCUCUUGGUUCUGGCAUCGAUGAAGAACGCAGCGAAAUGCGAUAAGUAAUGUGAAUUGCAGAAUUCAGUGAAUCAUCGAAUCUUUGAACGCACAUUGCGCCCGCCAGUAUUCUGGCGGGCAUGCCUGUCCGAGCGUCAUUUCAACCCUCGAACCCCUCCGGGGGGUCGGCGUUGGGGAUCGGCCCUGCCUUGGCGGUGGCCGUCUCCGAAAUACAGUGGCGGUCUCGCCGCAGCCUCUCCUGCGCAGUAGUUUGCACACUCGCAUCGGGAGCGCGGCGCGUCCACAGCCGUUAAACACCCAACUUCUGAAAUGUUGACCUCGGAUCAGGUAGGAAUACCCGCUGAACUUAAGCAUAUCAAUAAGCGGAGGAAAAGAAACCAACAGGGAUUGCCCCAGUAACGGCGAGUGAAGCGGCAACAGCUCAAAUUUGAAAUCUGGUCCCUAGGGCCCGAGUUGUAAUUUGUAGAGGAUGCUUUUGGUGAGGUGCCGCCCGAGUUCCCUGGAACGGGACGCCACAGAGGGUGAGAGCCCCGUCUGGCUGGCCGCCGAGCCUCUGUAAAGCUCCUUCGACGAGUCGAGUAGUUUGGGAAUGCUGCUCAAAAUGGGAGGUAUAUGUCUUCUAAAGCUAAAUAUUGGCCAGAGACCGAUAGCGCACAAGUAGAGUGAUCGAAAGAUGAAAAGCACCUUGAAAAGAGGGUUAAAUAGUACGUGAAAUUGUUGAAAGGGAAGCGCUUGUGACCAGACUUGGGCGCGGCGGAUCAUCCGGGGUUCUCUCCGGUGCACUUCGCCGCGUCUAGGCCAGCAUCAGUUCGUCGCGGGGGAAAAAGGCUUCGGGAACGUGGCUCCUUCCGGGAGUGUUAUAGCCCGUUGCUAAUAACCCUGCGGUGGACUGAGGACCGCCAUCU